UACGACGGGUGCAAACGUUGCUCGGAAUUAUUGGGCGUAAAGCGCACGUAGGCGGCUUGGCAAGUCGGGUGUGAAAUCCCUCGGCUCAACCAAGGAAGUGCAUCCGAAACUGCUGAGCUUGAGUACUUAAGAGGAUCGUGGAAUUCCCGGUGUAGUGGUGAUAUGCGUAGAUAUCGGGAGGAACACCUGUGGCGAAGGCGGCUUUCUGGGCCUGACCUGACGCUGAGACGCGAAAGCGUGGGGAGCGAACCGG
rnacentral:rRNA from 1 species